UGAUGCAUUCUGAAAACUGAAGAACCUAAUAGUUUAAAGUGUAAUUUAACCAUGUGCAACAUGUUAGUGUAUCAAUAAUGAUGGUACAAAAAUGUUAAAUAACCCGGACAGAGGCCAGUCUGCUGUAGUUUUUCUGAUCUAGAUGGGUCACAUGAAUCUCACAUCCUGCUGCUCCAGUGUUAUCUCCUGGUGUUUCUGGCUCAUCUGCAGUGCCCAGAAAGAUUACACGGGAAAGAUUCAGAUCCACGGUCGACCCAUGACAUCACACAGUGAGUUGCGUCUCUUCCCAGAGCCAGUCUGGGCUGUAGCAGCAGAGGCUGAGCUCAGCCAAGCGGUGACCCCGUGUCAAAGGCUGGUGGAGGAAACUGAGAGGGUGGGCGAGG